UACGUAGGGGGCUAGCGUUGUCCGGAUUUAUUGGGCGUAAAGAGCGUGUAGGCGGCCAGGUAGGUCUGCUGUGAAAACUCGAGGCUCAACCUCGAGACGUCGGCGGAAACCAUCUGGCUAGAGUCCGGAAGAGGAGAGUGGAAUUCCUGGCGUAGCGGUGAAAUGCGCAGAUAUCAGGAAGAACACCCGUGGCGAAGGCGGCUCUCUGGGACGGUACUGACGCUGAGACACGAAGGCCAGGGGAGCAAACGGG
rnacentral:rRNA from 1 species